rnacentral:rRNA from 1 species
UACGAAGGGGGCUAGCGUUGCUCGGAAUCACUGGGCGUAAAGGGUGCGUAGGCGGGUCUUUAAGUCAGGGGUGAAAUCCUGGAUCUCAACUCCAGAACUGCCUUUGAUACUGAAGAUCUUGAGUUCGGGAGAGGUGAGUGGAACUGCGAGUGUAGAGGUGAAAUUCGUAGAUAUUCGCAAGAACACCAGUGGCGAAGGCGGCUCACUGGCCCGAUACUGACGCUGAGGCACGAAAGCGUGGGGAGCAAACAGG